GUGGCUGGCGCAUGCUUUACCAUGCAGUCGAACGGCAGCGGGUCCUUCGGGAUGCCGGCGAGUGGCGAACGGGUGAGUAAUGCAUCGGAACGUACCCAGUCGUGGGGGAUAACUACUCGAAAGAGUAGCUAAUACCGCAUACGACCUGAGGGUGAAAGCGGGGGACCGCAAGGCCUCGCGCGAUUGGAGCGGCCGAUGUCGGAUUAGCUAGUUGGUGGGGUAAAGGCUUACCAAGGCGACGAUCCGUAGCUGGUCUGAGAGGACGGCCAGCCACACUGGGACUGAGACACGGCCCAGACUCCUACGGGAGGCAGCAGUGGGGAAUUUUGGACAAUGGGCGCAAGCCUGAUCCAGCCAUGCCGCGUGCGGGAAGAAGGCCUUCGGGUUGUAAACCGCUUUUGUCAGGGAAGAAAAGCUCUGGGCUAAUACCUCGGAGUGAUGACGGUACCUGAAGAAUAAGCACCGGCUAACUACGUGCCAGCAGCCGCGGUAAUACGUAGGGUGCGAGCGUUAAUCGGAAUUACUGGGCGUAAAGCGUGCGCAGGCGGUUGUGCAAGACA
rnacentral:rRNA from 1 species